rnacentral:misc_RNA from 1 species
CCAUACUCAAAUGAAGAAGCAGAAUAUGUGCUUUUGAUAAUACAUUAAAAAAUUGUAUCAAAAUUUCUAUGGAGAAGAGAGACGAUCAUCAUCAGCAAAUGAUGAAGACUGACAUUUCCAUGGCAAAUUCCACCACAUUCAUCACGGAGGAGAUGUCCAUCAGUAGUUUUGCUUUUUCUUCAUCACCUUCUACAACUCCUACAACAUCAACAAGCAUCUUUGACAUGAUGAUGAUGCCAUGUGAUAUUUCUGAUAAAGCCUCUUUAGGCUUCGUGGACUUGCUUGAUGGGAACCAAGAUUUUGGUUCCUCUUCAUUAUUCGAUUGGUUUCAGGUUCAGCCUCCCCCGAUUCUUCCCCAGCAACCUUUACCUUCACCGGCAUCUACUGUUCCUGAAUCAUCUGAGGUCUUGAACCCCCCGGCCCCUCCUAACUCCUCCUCGAUCUCUUCUUCCUCCAAUGAAGCAGGAAAUGAUUCACAAGCUAAGGCUGGAGAUGAGGAAGAGCAGGAUCAAGAAAAGAACAAGAAACAGUUGAAACCCAAAAAGAAGAACCAAAAAAGGCAAAGAGAGNUUUGUCGCGUAUCUAUUAUAUACAGUGUGUCCUUAGCUAGUUAGCUAGCUAGCUUUUGGAAAAUAUGAACAAGAAACAAAAAGCGAUAUAAGUCUGUUGGGAGAAACGGGAACUGGUAAAUCUCUGCAAUUAAACUUGAUUAAGAGUUUUAUGG